rnacentral:lncRNA from 1 species
CUACCUUCAUCAAUUCUACUCUUUGACAAAAUAGAAAUGCACCCAGAAACUCUCAGAAUGUUCCAGCAGGUAGCUGCCAUUGCUGCCUUCACCACCAACUAGACUGCAUCUGCCACCAUCUUCCACAGUCCAGGUCCCCUAAAUCAGAACCCUGGUACCUGAGAUUCCUACAAGCCUGUUCCCAGUCCCACAACAAUGUCAGAGAAAUGCAGAGAGAACGUGGCAUAGUUGAGAGUCAAGAAUCAGAAAAAGGAGAUGGAUGAAAGGGCAAACUGGAAAAAGCAGCAGAAAAGGUGGUGAAGGAGGAGGAGAAAGCAUUUGAGGAAGAAGAAAUGAGUGAGGAUGUACAGGAUGCAGACUAUGAGAAAAAAGUGGAUCCUAAGUGGGAAAGGACAUAAAAUGUUGUGACAGCAUGACACUUAUGCCACUGGCCUAAUAUUUGAAAAUUUCUAAGGACCAGGAGUUGGUGGUAUAAUUAGAUAAGUGUAACCACACACUUGACUCCCUGCCACACACCAGAGAUGCAUACUCUUUUUUCACCCCAAUUCUUGUUAUUUCUUUCUUUCCAGGCACUACUCAUCCAGCUUAAAUUUGCUGUUGAUCCACUUUGUGAGCUGUUUUAACUGAGCACCCCAGCUAGUCUCCAGUAACCCAUAUCCACUCUUUGUUUUCUUCACCCACCCCACCAAUUCUUAUCCUCAGGUAGCCUCUCUUAACUGCCGUUUUAAUGGCCCAACCUGACAUCCUGAGCUAUCCCUCUUGUUUCUGACCCCUGGAUCACCCUCAGAUUUGCUCCACCAACAAAUCAUCAAGCAAGAUUGUAGUCAGGUUUGGUUUCCUAGACAAUAAACUGCCUUCUUG